rnacentral:rRNA from 1 species
CCUACGGGAGGCAGCAGUGGGGAAUCUUGCGCAAUGGGCGAAAGCCUGACGCAGCCAUGCCGCGUGAAUGAUGAAGGUCUUAGGAUUGUAAAAUUCUUUCACCGAGGACGAUAAUGACGGUGCUCGGAGAAGAAGCCCCGGCUAACUUCGUGCCAGCAGCCGCGGUAAUACGAAGGGGGCUAGCGUUGCUCGGAAUUACUGGGCGUAAAGGGAGCGUAGGCGGAUAGUUUAGUCAGAGGUGAAAGCCCAGGGCUCAACCUUGGAAUUGCCUUUGAUACUGGCUAUCUUGAGUACGGAAGAGGUAUGUGGAACUCCGAGUGUAGAGGUGAAAUUCGUAGAUAUUCGGAAGAACACCAGUGGCGAAGGCGACAUACUGGUCCGUUACUGACGCUGAGGCUCGAAAGCGUGGGGAGCAAACAGGAUUAGAUACCCGGGUAGUCCACGCUGUAAACGAUGAGUGCUAGUUGUCGGCAUGCAUGCAUGUCGGUGACGCAGCUAACGCAUUAAGCACUCCGCCUGGGGAGUACGGUCGCAAGAUUAAAACUCAAAUGAAUUGACGG